rnacentral:rRNA from 1 species
CGAAAAGCCUCUAAGCAUCAGGUAACACGAAAUCGUACCCCAAACCGACACAGGUGGUCAGGUAGAGAAUACCAAGGCGCUUGAGAGAACUCGGGUGAAGGAACUAGGCAAAAUGGUGCCGUAACUUCGGGAGAAGGCACGCUGAUGUGUAGGUGAAGUCCCUGCGGAUGGAGCUGAAAUCAGUCGAAGAUACCAGCUGGCUGCAACUGUUUAUUAAAAACACAGCACUGUGCAAACACGAAAGUGGACGUAUACGGUGUGACGCCUCCCCGGUGCCGGAAGGUUAAUUGAUGGGGUUAUCCUUAGGGAGAAGCUCUUGAUCGAAGCCCCGGUAAACGGCGGCCGUAACAAUAACGGUCCUAAGGUAGCGAAAUUCCUUGUCGGGUAAGUUCCGACCUGCACGAAUGGCGUAAUGAUGGCCAGGCUGUCUCCACCCGAGACUCAGUGAAAUUGAACUCGCUGUGAAGAUGCAGUGUACCCGCGGCAAGACGGAAAGACCCCGUGAACCUUUACUAUAGCUUGACACUGAACAUUGAGCCUUGAUGUGUAGGAUAGGUGGGAGGCUUUGAAGCGAGGACGCCAGUUCUUGUGGAGCCAACCUUGAAAUACCACCCUUUAAUGUUUGAUGUUCUAACGUAGACCCGUAAUCCGGGUUGCGGACAGUGUCUGGUGGGUAGUUUGACUGGGGCGGUCUCCUCCCAAAAGAGUAACGGAGGAGCACGAAGGUUAGCUAAUCCUGGUCGGACAUCAGGAGGUUAGUGCAAUGGCAUAAGCUAGCUUGACUGCGAGAGUGACGGCUCGAGCAGGUGCGAAAGCAGGUCAUAGUGAUCCGGUGGUUCUGAAUGGAAGGGCCAUCGCUCAACGGAUAAAAGGUACUCCGGGGAUAACAGGCUGAUACCGCCCAAGAGUUCAUAUCGACGGCGGUGUUUGGCACCUCGAUGUCGGCUCAUCACAUCCUGGGGCUGAAGUAGGUCCCAAGGGUAUGGCUGUUCGCCAUUUAAAGUGGUACGCGAGCUGGGUUUAGAACGUCGUGAGACAGUUCGGUCCCUAUCUGCCGUGGGCGCUGGAGAAUUGAGGGGGGCUGCUCCUAGUACGAGAGGACCGGAGUGGACGCAUCACUGGUGUUCGGGUUGUCAUGCCAAUGGCAUUGCCCGGUAGCUAAAUGCGGAAAAGAUAAGUGCUGAAAGCAUCUAAGCACGAAACUUGCCCCGAGAUGAGUUCUCCCUGACUCCUUGAGAGUCCUGAAGGAACGUUGAAGACUACGACGUUGAUAGGCUGGGUGUGUAAGCGUAGCGAUACGUUGAGCUAACCAGUACUAAUGAACCGUGAGGCUUAACCC